CCCUGUCCUACAGCCCACCAGAGUGGAUCCACCAGCAGCGCUACCACGGCGAGGCAGCAACGAUCUGGUCCCUGGGCCUCCUGCUGUACCACCUGGUCGUGGGGAAACACCCGUUCAGGAGGGGCCAGCAGAUCAUCUGGGGCCGCAUCUUGUUCCCACGAUGGCUCUCUCCAGAGUGCCAGGAUGUCAUUAAGAGGUGUUUGUCCAUGCAACCCUUGGACAGGCCAUCCUUAGAAGACCUCUUCAAUGAUCCUUGGCUGCAGGGCGUUCAUCUGCCCUAGAAGAUGGGAGAGGUCCAUGUGCACAAUUGGAUCCAAAACCUGGCAGGGAAGGAGGAGGCCCUGGAGAAGCUCUGUCAGGUGGGGCUGCUGCUGGAGACACCAAGGACAACCUCAGGGAUGACAAUCUCUUCCUCCACCUGGUCACCAGCAGCUGAAGAUGAUGGAGUUUGAUUCUGGCACCUUCUUCAGAGACAUGCUCCAUGCCCAAUCUGCAGGAGUGCCACAACUGAGCAAAACCUGGCGAGUGGAUGGUGUUCCUAAGGCAGUGCAGUCUGGAGCUGAUGGAUGAAGAAUUAAUUGCCCUUCUGCACCUCGAAACCAGAGCAACAAGCUAAAAACUUUCCUAAGAAAGGAGUGUCCUUUGCUGCUGGUUCCCGUGUGGAGCAGCUCCCUUCCCGCUGGCUGAGCUGCUCAGGCACAGCCCGGCAGCUCCUGGCCCUGCAGGGCUGAGGCUUUUCCCCGGUGCUGGGCACAGACUGAUGGAGCAGCACUGCUCAACACGGGCACACACAGAGGGAGCAGAAGCAGCUGCCUUUGCCCACCUGCAGCUCCAGGGCCCAAACUCUGAGCACACAGGGCUGGAAGGGACUGGCAGGUUCCCUGUUUGCUGUGCUGCCCCACUUGUGGCCAGCCCAGCUCUGCAGCCCUGGGCUUUGUGCAAGGAACAGAGGUGAGGACUCCCUCUCCAUGUGCAGCUUCCAGAUGGAAAAGGCUGCUGUGAGCAGGCAGCUCCAAGGGCAGAGAAAGGAGGGUCUCCACCACUGGAUCUGUGCCACUUCCACCGUCCUGGGCAGCAGCCACUGAGCCCAGGGGAACAGAGGGCACAGCAAGAGGGACAAAACCAGGCAGGGUCAGAGCCUGGGAGGAGCCAGAGCUGGGAGCAGGAACAGCUGCUCCAUUGCACUCUUGGAGAAAGCUCUGGGCUGUUUCUGAGCGCUGAAAGGCGUGAAGGGCAGAGAGGAGGCCACAGCAAACAAUGCUCCUGUUUCCACACUCUCCCCUCUCAGUGUCCCAGAAGGAAUUGCAUGAACUGUGUUCUUCUCUCGGAGUCGUCUCGUUCAGCAUGAGCAGCUUUGCACCAGGAGCUGAAGGAGCUGAAGCCUUAGGCCACAAGAGCUGAGCAAGAGGGAACUUUUUGACCAAAGUAAUGCUGCUAACAUGGACCUGACUGAAUGCAGCAGAUAAAAUCAUGGAAAUACAGAAUCCUUUCUGUUGGAAAAGACCUCUGAGCUCAUCAAGUGGAAGUGUUAAACCAGCAGUGUCAAGCCCAGCACUAAACCCUGAAGAGCCAGGCCUGGACAAGAGGCCUGAGUGAGGCCUGAACAACAGGCCCUGAGCCAAAGGUGACCUCUGGAUGAACCUCCCAACCAAAGGGUAUCUUUGUAUCUGCUCCUUAACAAAAUAUGCAUGGUUAUUAGCCUUGUACUAGAUGUAUCCACUCCUUAGUGAAACAGGUCAUGAUCUUUCUGUAUUUAGAAGCCAGACAAGGCCAUGAAAUCUGACAUCUGGCCUUGUCUGGGGCUGUAUGGUCAAAGGCAACUCCCUUGGUUCCUCCUUGGGCCCUGGCCAGGCUUUGGGAGGGACCCAAGAGGAGGAUGAAACCAGAUGUUCCUGCACUAGAAAUGCUGUCAGUUUGUUUAUCCAUCUCUAUCAAAGCUGGGCUCUCUCACAGCCAAGCUGGAGCCUCACCUGUGGCUGGAGGCACCUGCAGGAAUUCCCAGUGUCCAGGAGUGGCUCUGCAGUCCUUGGCUGUGACAGCUUCCCCCAGCUGAUGUGUGGGUGUGGGUGAUGGGAAAGUGUGAGGGCAACUGGUGAUGGAUCUU